UUGAACAAGGGUACAGUUAAAGAACCUGAAAGCGUCGUACUUUGGGAUAAUCAAGUCGAUUUGACUGAAGGUAAUUUCUCUGGUGGAUCUUAUUAUGAUAUAAUUGAAGAUGAAGAGCCCGUUUCAUUCAACAUCAAUCAAGACGGUAAACAAGCCACUUUCUGGAUGCCCUACUACUCCGAGGACUGGACCGCUGUCUUGGCUUCUUGCUCAUCAAAUGGUGAUGGUACUCUUGAUGUCAAGGCUUGGUAUGUGUCUCGAGCACAAUCGAAGAAGAUCUCAAGUGAAGUCCAAGAAAUCGCCAAAUCAUUGACUGGUACAAGUUUCGUAGAAACUUGUCAACAAGCUUUAUGUUAAUCAUUCAAUUAUUUUAAAUCAAAAUAUUUUGUUUAAUUAACGCGAGUAAUAAACUUGAAUCGUAUUCAGCAUUGAUAAAUAAAUGUUUUCUCAUUCA